AAAGUAAGUCUGCAAGUAGGUAGUUAUAAGUUUUUGUUCAGAAGUUUCACCUCAUGGUCUUCAGAUGGCUGCCCCAACUCCAGGCAUCAUGAGUGCAUUCAAGGCAAGGAGAUCAAAGUUCCUUCUAUUUUUCCACUCUACCAUCCUAGCAUGGAGCUUCCAUCUUUGAGGUCACCUCAGGGUCCAUGAUGGCUGCUGGAGCUCCAGCCAUUAUUAUCCCCACUUCAGAAAGGAAGAAUGGGUAAGAAAGGUCGAGUCAGCUUCCUUUUUUUUUUUUUUUUUCUUGAGAUGGAGUUUCACUCUUAUUGCCCAGGCUGGAGUGCAAUGGC
rnacentral:lncRNA from 10 species